AUUGAACGCUGGCGGCGUGCCUAACACAUGCAAGUCGAGCGGUAGCAGGUGUAGCAAUACAUGCUGACGAGCGGCGGACGGGUGAGUAACGCUUGGGAAUCUGCCUGUUAGUGGGGGACAACCAACCGAAAGGUUGGCUAAUACCGCAUACGAUCUACGGAUGAAAGCCGGGGACCGCAAGGCCUGGCGCUAACAGAUGAGCCCAAGUCGGAUUAGCUAGUUGGUGGGGUAACGGCCUACCAAGGCGACGAUCCGUAAUUGGUCUGAGAGGACGACCAGUCAGACCGGAGCUGAGGCGCGGUCCAGAAUCCGACGGGAGGCAGCAGUGGGGAAUAUUGGACAAUGGGGGCAACCCUGAUCCAGCGACGCCGCGCGGGUGAAGAAGGCCUGCGGGUUGUAAAGCCCUUUCGGUUGGGAAGAAAAGUUUCGGCUUAAUACGCUGGGACCUUGACGUAACCAACUAAAGAAGCACCGGCUAACUCUGUGCCAGCCGCCGCCGUAAUAC
rnacentral:rRNA from 1 species